GGAUCCCAGCGGCCGUCCUGUAGCUGAGCAGGCCUGGGGCUUGGUUCUAUGUCCCUGUGGCUAUGUUUCCAGUGUCCUCUGGGUGUUUCCAAGAGCAACAAGAAACGAAUAAAUCUCUGAUGGAUUUUCCCUCUUGUUGCCCAGGCUGGAGUGCAAUGGUG